AACGAACGCUGGCGGCAUGCCUUACACAUGCAAGUCGAACGGCAGCACGGGUGCUUGCACCUGGUGGCGAGUGGCGAACGGGUGAGUAAUACAUCGGAACGUACCUUAUCGUGGGGGAUAACGCAGCGAAAGCUGUGCUAAUACCGCAUACGCCCUGAGGGGGAAAGCGGGGGAUCGCAAGACCUCGCGCGAUUAGAGCGGCCGAUGCCUGAUUAGCUUGUUGGUGGGGUAAAAGCCCACCAAGGCGACGAUCAGUAGCUGGUCUGAGAGGACGAUCAGCCACACUGGGACUGAGACACGGCCCAGACUCCUACGGGAGGCAGCAGUGGGGAAUUUUGGACAAUGGGGGCAACCCUGAUCCAGCAAUGCCGCGUGAGUGAAGAAGGCCUUCGGGUUGUAAAGCUCUUUUGUCAGGGAAGAAACACCGGCUCUAACACAGUCCGGGAAUGACGGUACCUGAAGAAUAAGCACCGGCUAACUACGUGCCAGCCGCCGCAGUAA
rnacentral:rRNA from 1 species